GCAUCGUUGGUGCAGUGGUUAGCAUCCUGCCUUCCCAUCGUCCCAUUUAUGGCAGCGUAUAAGUAGACAGGCAGUGACGGGAGUUCGAAUCUCCCACGAUGCA